AGUGAACGCUGGCAGUAGGCCUAACACAUGCAAGUCGAACGGCAGCACAGUAAGAGCUUGCUCUUACGGGUGGCGAGUGGCGGACGGGUGAGGAAUACAUCGGAAUCUACUUUUUCGUGGGGGAUAACGUAGGGAAACUUACGCUAAUACCGCAUACGACCUACGGGUGGAAGCAGGGGAUCUUCGGACCUUGCGCGAUUGAAUGAGCCGAUGUCGGAUUAGCUAGUUGGCGGGGUAAAGGCCCACCAAGGCGACGAUCCGUAGCUGGUCUGAGAGGAUGAUCAGCCACACUGGAACUGAGACACGGUCCAGACUCCUACGGGAGGCAGCAGUGGGGAAUAUUGGACAAUGGGCGCAAGCCUGAUCCAGCCAUACCGCGUGGGUGAAGAAGGCCUUCGGGUUGUAAAGCCCUUUUGUUGGGAAAGAAAAGCAGCAGGUUAAUACCCCGCUGUUCUGACGGUACCCAAAGAAUAAGCACCGGCUAACUUCGCG
rnacentral:rRNA from 1 species